GUGAAGAACGCAGCAAAAUGCGAUAAGUAAUGUGAAUUGCAGAAUUCAGUGAAUCAUCGAAUCUUUGAACGCACAUUGCGCCCGCUGGUAUUCCGGCGGGCAUGCCUGUUCGAGCGUCAUUUCAACCCUCAAGCCCCCGGGUUUGGUGUUGGGGAUCGGCUCUGCCCUUCUGGGCGGUGCCGCCCCCGAAAUACAUUGGCGGUCUCGCUGCAGCCUCCAUUGCGUAGUAGCUAACACCUCGCAACUGGAACGCGGCGCGGCCAUGCCGUAAAACCCCAACUUCUGAAUGUUGACCUCGGAUCAGGUAGGAAUACCCGCUGAACUUAAGCAUAUCAAUAAGCGGAGGA
rnacentral:misc_RNA from 1 species